UCUGACUUAUGUCAUAGCCACAAUGUCCC
rnacentral:piRNA from 1 species